rnacentral:tRNA from 1 species
AUUUAUAUAAUAUAAUUAGUAUAAUUAAUUUCCAAUUAAUAGGUUUAAAUAAAAAUUAAUAUAAAUA